GAGUUUGAUCCUGGCUCAGGACGAACGCUGGCGGCGUGCUUAACACAUGCAAGUCGAGCGAGAAACCUUCGGGUUUCUAGCGGCGGACGGGUGAGUAACACGUGGGUAACCUACCUCAAAGAGGGGAAUAGCCUCCCGAAAGGGAGAUUAAUACCGCAUAAUAUCAUAGCUUCGCAUGAAGCAAUGAUUAAAGGAGUAAUCCGCUUUGAGAUGGACCCGCGGCGCAUUAGCUAGUUGGAGAGGUAACGGCUCACCAAGGCAACGAUGCGUAGCCGACCUGAGAGGGUGAUCGGCCACAUUGGAACUGAGACACGGUCCAGACUCCUACGGGAGGCAGCAGUGGGGAAUAUUGCACAAUGGGCGAAAGCCUGAUGCAGCAACGCCGCGUGAGUGAUGACGGUCUUCGGAUUGUAAAGCUCU
rnacentral:rRNA from 1 species